AUGUUUCAUGCAUCAUGAUUAUGCAAUAGGAUGACUGCAUUAGUUUCACGAAUAUGCCGCAUUGCAUAAAUUGUUGUUGUUGUGGGUGAAUGUUGGAUGACCCAAUUAGUCCAAGACAGGAAGACCAGGCCCCAUGCUACAGGCCUGGCACAGAGUAAGCAAGUCCAGGCCCCAGUCUACAGGCCUGGCACAGAGUAAGGUACGGUUAUGGGACUUGAAGACCAGGAGCCAGAGGAGGCCCUAGGAAAAUGGUAAGUAAUGUAUGUUCUGACAGGAAAGACCAGGACCCCAUU
rnacentral:lncRNA from 1 species